AAUGGAGGCAACUCUAAACCAGCCAUGCCGCGUGCAGGAAGAAUGCCCUAUGGGUUGUAAACUGCUUUUAUUUGGGAAUAAACCCCUCUACGUGUAGGGGGCUGAAGGUACCAAAGGAAUAAGGACCGGCUAACUCCGUGCCAUCAGCCGCGGUAAUACGGAGGGUCCGAGCGUUAUCCGGAAUCAUNGGGUCUAANGGGUGCGUAGGUGGGUUGGUAAGNCAGUGGUUAAAUCUCCGAGCUUAACUUGGAAACUGCCAUUGAUACUAUCAGUCUUGAAUAUUGUGGAGGUCAGCGGAAUAUGUCAUGUAGCGGUGAAAUGCUUAGAUAUGACAUAGAACACCAAUUGCGAAGGCAGCUGGCUACGCAUAUAUUGACACUGAGGCACGAAAGCGUGGGGAUCAAA
rnacentral:rRNA from 1 species